GUAAUUGCAGUUGUCUGCACAAUCCUAUAAACCGGAAAGAUCUGAAACCCUAAUCUCACAGUGUGGCAGCUCAAGUCGGCUAGAAAAUCAACUUCUUUGUCUCUCUUAUUGUGGUGUGGGCGUGUUUGUGGUGUUUGAAUUUGGUGUGAUGUAAAAAAGUGUGAUUGCCUCAAAGAGUAGCCAUGUGAACUUUGGAUUUCAUACCUGGCUUAGUUAGGAGGCAGAUAUCAAACUUAAAAAAAAGGCCUUUUUGAAUUUAUGGGGACUCUUUUGUUUCUCUCUCAUCUGUUUUCCCCCAAACAAGCCUUUCACAUUUUUUCUCUCUUUUUACUUGCACAUCUACUACUCUUUUUUCUUCUCUUCUUUUAUGGGUUUUCUUAAACAUUAAUAUAUAUAUAUAUAUAUAUAUUUUUUUUUUUUCUUUUUUGAGGGGUUUGAUUGCCUCAGAAUAACCAGAUGGUGCAAAUAAAAAACAAAAAACGCCGUGUGGUUCAGACAGGGGCACACAGUAAUCUGAAUCUGUUUGAGGGUAAGGAACGCCUCUUCUCUUUUACUGUUCCUUUCCUAGAUGGCUUCAAACAUUCUUUUCUAUUUUUAAUUUUGUUCGGUUUUUGUGAUUGAUAUUUUGUCAAUGUUGUAUUUAUAAUUUUACCAUAUUUUGUUGUUUUUUUUUAUUUUUGAGGUAAUGAAGAAUAAAGUCGUGAUAACAAUAAAAAUAAUAGUAUUUGAGUGAAAUACAUUUCUAUCAUAAAUUGAUUGAAAAAUCUCUAUGUGAUACAUACUUGUAUUUGGAAUUGGAUUCGGCUUAUUUUUUUUUAAUUGGAAUUUCAUUUUGUUUUAAAUAUAUGACAAAUGGUAGCGAGUUUUAAUCUUCAUUUUUUUUAGUUAGUGCGUAAUAUGAGAAAUAGUAGGUGCCAACGUCUAAGUGAUGUGAGAAAUAAUAGGUGCCAUUAGAUUGUAAUGUCUUAUUUUUCGAUUGAGUUGUAGCAACUGAUAUAAUAAGUUUUAUUAAAUUGGAUUCUAAUUGGUAUCCAGACGGCAUUAUUUUUUCAAGUUCAUAGAGGUUAGGAUUUCCUCAAAUCAAAUCUAAACUUUAUCUGGAUUUUUUUCAAAAUAACAUCAUUUUUCUAACAAUUUUGUUAGUUAGCAUCAUUUAAUAACUAUUUAGGAAACUAACACCUUGAGUUUGUUAGGGUCGAAUUCAUUGUAGCAAAUCAAGUGGAAAAGUCUCAAGUUAAAGGGAAUUUGCUCUUUUUCCUUGUUUCCUUUUCCUUCCUUCGUUCUUCAUUCUCCAGAGGCCAGACCAAAUCAAGAACAAACCCACAAAGACAAAAUCAAGAACAACCUUAACAACCCAGAAACACCCACCUACCGCAAAAACCACACUCACUUUAGGAACAAAUUCACAAAUCACAAAAAUGGUUUUGGUUCAGGUUGAGAGAGAUGAGCUAGAGAUUGGACCACUGCCGAUGGUGCCGAGGAUGGUCGGAGGAAGAGCCAAGGAGCUCAGCCACGAAAGUUCAGAGAGCAAAGGAGUGGGUUCAUUGUUUUUGAUGGAUCUGGGUUUGUUGUUUCCUUCUUUGUGAUCUCUACUCUUUCUUCUUAGUGAGUUGGUGGAACUCGAGUCUUAGACUUGAUUUCCACAUUGAUUUUCAUAGUUGCUACACUAAAAUUGAGUCUUAGGCAUUCAAGAUGUUAGUUUUCUAAAUAAUUUGGAAACAAUGCUAACUAACGAAAUUGUUUGAAAAUUGUUGUUAUUUUGAAAAAAAAUCCCAAUUUAUCUCUUUGUUAUCUUUUGUUCUCGUUACAUAUCAAGUGUUUCAUUAGAUUUAGCCAAAAAAAAAAGUGUUUCAUUAGAAACAACCAAAAUUCUAUUUCCUAUCCCCUAAAUAUUUAUAUUUUCUCUCUCCAAAUUGGAUCCUAAUUGGUUUCCUUAUUUUAAGUUUUAUCAAAUUGGAUCCUAAUUGGUUUUACGGCAUCAUGUUUUUCUCUAUCAAAUCCAAAAGGUUCAUAGAGGUAUCACUAUGUUGUAGCCGCCUCUCACAAAACAAGGCAAUUAAUAGAGACUAAAAUGUAAAAUGCAAAUGUUUGGGAUAAUUUUGAUUAUGAUACUAUUGAGGUUUACAAUUUUGAACUUUAAUGCAUAAUGUUUGAUAUCA